rnacentral:lncRNA from 1 species
CUCCCACAGCUCCCAUCUCCCAGCUGAGCCAGUUUGUUGAUUUUAUUCUUUCCAAAGUGCACCAAAGUUUACUGUUCCGAGUGCUCAGGACGAGGUCUCAAGUUCAACACUCUCCAUCCAUCACUGAGCUCCUAGAAGCCUACACACCAGUCAGCGCAAGUCUUUGGUAAUUCAAGGAGAGAUGAUCAGAACUCAUAAUCAUGCAGGAGCCAAAUAAGCUAAGCUGACUGAAGAAGCCCAAGGAUCUGCAUAGCAGAUCUGCAAAUUAUUCUUAAGACAUCAUAUGGUAGGAAAAAAGAGGAAAAAAAAGAUGGGAGCGGAAACUCAAAAGGAACAAGGGAAAGAUAAGAAAAGCGUUAACAACAUAACAAGGCUCCCUGUCUCCUCUGAGGUCAACAUCCCCGAUCCUCUCCUGCACUCUCAGUCUGCAGCAGGAAUAAGCUAGCCUCAUAACUGAAGAGUUCCAGUUCCUAUCCACCUUCCUCCCUAAACACGGUGGGAAGAGCCACGUUAUGCUGCUGACCUUGGAACAAACCCAGUUUUCCAAACUAAAGUGAACCAUC